UACGUAGGGUGCGAGCGUUAAUCGGAAUUACUGGGCGUAAAGGGUGCGCAGGCGGUUAUAUAAGACAGAUGUGAAAUCCCCGGGCUCAACCUGGGAACUGCGUUUGUGACUGUAUGACUAGAGUACGGUAGAGAGGGGUGGAAUUCCUGGUGUAGCAGUGAAAUGCGUAGAUGUCAGGAGGAACAUCGAUGGCGAGGGCAGCCCCUUGGACCUGUACUGACGCUCAUGCACGAAAGCGUGGGGAGCAAACAGG
rnacentral:rRNA from 1 species